CCCUUAGAUGUUCUGGGCUGCACGCGCGCUACACUGAUGCGUUCAACGAGUUUAUAACCUUGCCCGAUAGGGUUGGGUAAUCUUUUGAAAACGCAUCGUGAUGGGGAUAGAUUAUUGUAAUUAUUAAUCUUCAACGAGGAAUUCCUAGUAAGCGCGAAUCAUCAGUUCGUGCUGAUUACGUCCCUGCCCUUUGUACACACCGCCCGUCGCUCCUACCGAUUGAGUGGUCCGGUGAGGCUUUGGGAUCUGAGCGGAAAGAGCGUUUCGCUGUUUCUGCUCGGAAAACUCAGUCGAACCUUAUCAUUUAGAGGAAGGAGAAGUCGUAACA
rnacentral:rRNA from 1 species